GAGAGAAAUAUCGAGUGAUAUAAAUAAAAAUGUUUAAAACUGUUUCUACAGCUCGUAGGAAAGGGAUGGAGGAAUACCCGUUCAACUGAUUCACAGAAGUGUGGCGGAAAUGAAGAAGAAAAGCAUUCUCGUUCUCAUUGUGGAAAAUAGUGGCGCGGUGGAAGGACAAGAAGAGGGCGGGAAAAAGUCAGCCGGGGAUCAACGGUGUUGCGCCGUGGAGGAUGGCUUCGCCGUUGAGAAUCGCGCAAAGGUAAAGUAGUUCGGAGAAGCAGCAUCCAAAGUAGUAAUCCUUCAUCCUAAGUAUCAUGCUGAGUUUCUGAUCCUUGUCGACGAGCCCUCUGCAUGCAACCCACAUGAGUGGUGACCAGCAAGACCGAUCGCUUCUAUGUAAAAUAAGUUGAAAUUUCGACUUAAUUCCAGAGCACAAAAAUUAUUCGAAGAGGAUGCGUAGCGAAGAAAGGAUUAAAAAUCGCUGAUUCAGACUAUAGAUUUUAAAAGAUCAUCGUGGUUACGAAGAAAUGUCCAGUUAUUCUUGUUUUCAAUUAUCCUUUUCUCACGUAAGCCAGGUGGUCGAAGAGGAAGCGAGAAGAAAAAGAAGAAGAAGAAGAAAAAUACGUACACACCAGUAGCAACGACUUGGUCAUUCGAAUACCUGUGUUGGCACGUCAACUGCGCGUGUUAAAGCGCGACAACGAAGAAUGAAAAAGAACAGCUGGAACAGUCACGGGCCAACAAUUAGAAUACCCCUUCACGGAUACUCGAUAUUCUACUGAAAAUGUACGCGUGGACCAAUCGUGACACGCGUGCACAAUUUUCCUAACCACGCUCCGCGAAAGUCCAAAUCCUUUUCUCAACAGGAUUGUACACAGAAGUGCAAUAUUGGAUUCUGUUUUUCCGUUGUCUCGCGUGGACGAACAAACAGUACGCGGAGCUACUUGGAAUGCCGGGUCACGACUCGAAAUACGAGAUGUCGUGUAGGUAUGUGGCGAAAUGUGGUGGUCGGUUUUUAUUUCGCUGGCGAUCGCGGCUGGCACGAUAACGUGAUUCCAACCGGCGCCUAUGAAAUCGAAAGAUGAGCAUUGGUGGAUAACGGGACACGGAGAAUGCUUGCGCACUUUCGAUCAGGGCGAAUUCAAAAUUCUAGAUGGGGUUUAGAGAUUUCGCGGAAUUGCUGUCUAUAUUGUUUGACCACCCGCCACUUCUUGGAAACACUUCGUGUAUAAUUGCGUUUGUAUUGGGAUAUUUGUAAAAAAUGAAAUUAUUGGAAUGUUAUAAUUAAAAUAUUGUUAGGAAAAUAUAUAAUAUAUUUUAUGUUCUU